GUAGGUGAACGAGCGAUCGCUGGCGUGCCGGCCACUUCGGUUUGGCACGCGGGAGGAAAGUCCGAGCUCCGCAGGGCAAGGUGCCGGGUAACGCCCGGUGAGGGUGACCUCGAGGAAAGUGCCACAGAAAACAAACCGCCGGCGUGCCGCGAGGCCCCACCGGUAAGGGUGAAAAGGUGGAGUAAGAGACCACCGCACGCUCGGUAACGAGCGUGGCACGGCAAACCCCACUUGGAGCAAGGCCAUGUAGGGAGGCGAAGUGCGGCUGACGUCGCACGAGAGGGCUGCCCGCCCGAGCCUCCGGGUAGGCUGCUCGAGGCACGCGGUAACGCGCGCCCUAGAGGAAUGAUCGCGAUCGAGGAAGGGGCGACCCGACCUCGAUACAGAACUCGGCUUAUGAGCACCUGCGACC
rnacentral:RNase_P_RNA from 1 species